rnacentral:rRNA from 1 species
AUUGAACGCUGGCGGCAUGCCUUACACAUGCAAGUCGAACGGCAGCACGGGAGCAAUCCUGGUGGCGAGUGGCGAACGGGUGAGUAAUAUAUCGGAACGUGCCCGGUCGUGGGGAUAACGUAGCGAAAGCUACGCUAAUACCGCAUACGAUCUACGGAUGAAAGCGGGGGAUCGCAAGACCUCGCGCGAUUGGAGCGGCCGAUAUCAGAUUAGGUAGUUGGUGAGGUAAAAGCUCACCAAGCCGACGAUCUGUAGCUGGUCUGAGAGGACGACCAGCCACACUGGGACUGAGACACGGCCCAGACUCCUACGGGAGGCAGCAGUGGGGAAUUUUGGACAAUGGGCGCAAGCCUGAUCCAGCAAUGCCGCGUGCAGGAUGAAGGCCUUCGGGUUGU